CUCUCUCACAACAUACAAGUAGCCUGAGACAUUGAAAACCAAUUCUUUACCUUCACUACCUGCCACGGUCCCUGAGGUAGUGUCGGUUGCAUAGUAAGGUUCAUUGGCAAAGUUUGUUGGCAAGUUUAUGGUGCUGAGCACAAGGUUCCCAUCUUCUUGCAGAAGCAGCUGGAACCGUCCUUUCGAAUAGUUAGUCUCCGAUUGUCGAGACGAAAGCUUCCCACUUCUUUCCAAUGUCUGUCCAGGCAACAUGGUAUCAGUGGGAUUGUUGAAGGUCUCCCAUAAGCUUUCUGAAUUUCUAUCUUGAAGAACGAAGUUGCCUGUGUCAUUCAUGACCCCAUUGGCAACAACACCAACACUGGUUUCAGAUUUCCAUAGCUCUUCACCCUGAGGACUUCUAAGCACUAGACCGCUGUUGGCAGUCAAGUUCACAGUUGACCCCUUGGGUGCAACUGCAGCCUCAUUAUCCCGAUUUGCAUUCCAAACUAUGGUUCUGUCUGGUAUUUUGGCAUACCAUAUUGAGAGCAGGAAAAGAUCAUUGCUUCCAAGCGGAAAAAAUCCAAAGGCAAAAUCACCAGAUGGAGAAAGCCAUGGUGAGGAGUUAGCUGCAGUUGCAGUUAGGAAAUCCCCCACUGCUAUGCCACCAUUGGUUUGAGCAAACACAGAAACUGGUAGCAGAAACAGUGAGGAAAACAGAAGCAGCCGUACAGUAAAAGCCAUUGCUAAUUUUCUAGCACCAAUGUGGUUCGGCAUACUACAAUAUCUUAGCUAGCUAUAUUUCAUAAUGAAGAAUGGGACCAUGAUGGCCCUUGCUUCCUCGAAAUUUCUUGCUAUAAAUGCGGGUACCACAUCUUAAUGAAGCAUGAAGCGUGCUCAUUUCUGUGAGAUGGCGAGGUGACGCAAAGACAAAAAUUUUAGAAUUUUUUAUGAUGAACUGGGACCUACAAAUUUGAAAAUGUUAUGAAAUAGCUAUAGAUGAAAUCAUCAGUCUAAAAUGGCUGCGACCAUUUAGAAAUUUUUAAGAAUGCAGGACUUUUUAUUUGCAUUAUGGGGUGAACAAGAAGGACUAAUUUAUUUGUAUUGACUGGAAAAUUUUAUUUCAUUCUGUGGAACCAUGAAAGAAAAUGUUCUAAUUGGCUCAAAUUUAGGAAGAAUUACUAGUUACUUUGGUUAAGUGACCCCUGGAAUUGUCAAUAGGCACAUAGUGUGUUAGGUGAUCAAAUGUAACUUAGUCAUUCGCCUGUGAGAUGUCUAAAGUCAGGUUCUAAGUGGGCAAUCAAUGAUGGCUGGGGUAUCUUUGUAAAAGGCAAAGGAACCAAGUGAAGUGGAACAUCAAGUAGGAAGCAACUUACGGCUGAUUGGAGACCGGGCUGGCUGUUUUUUUUUUUUUUUUUGGAUUUAAAAAACAGCACCUUCAAUUUGCUAUUACAAUGUAUUAGGAAUUAAUGCAUGCUAGUGCUGGUAGGCAUAAGAGAUAAUGUCUGCCGACAUUAUAUUUGGUGCGUUAGUGAUUGAAUAAUGCUUUGCAUUCUUCUUUCUCUUCUUUGGCUAUUUAAUCAGGCAAGUAGUGCAUGAGAAGAGUGCUUGUGUAUAGCAAAACCAAAGGAAACCAGAGAGAGAAGAGAGUUGGUUUCAUAUCCACCAUUCAGUGCAAUCCGCUUCUGUCGCGCACAACACUGCACUGCAGUCACCAAGUCAACGAAGUCUAAGGUUGGGCACAUGUUACAGGAUGGGCUAAGUCUAAGUCUAAGUCUAAGGUUCAGAAUCAUGAAUAUGCUGCUACUUUCCAAGUUCCAGUUUCCAUGAUUUACCAGUUGGAGCUUUGUCUUUUUGUUUUUGGAUUGUGGGUGCAAAGUCUUUUUCAAUGUUUUAUAAUGUAGGGUAAUUUUCUUCGACUCCAAUGUUAGGUUUCUUUAUAUGCGUGUUCAUAAUCUUUCACACAAUCUGAAAUACGUAAAGACAUACCUAGAGCCAUCUUUUUUGAGACACCACCUCUGAACUCAUUCAAUUGCAGCAGAAACAAUCCCAACAAGAACAGGAACGGCUCAAGACUUCUGCUCUCUCUUAUAAUCUAUUUCAGCUCUCUCUUAGAUUAGGGUUAGAGAAUGUGUUUGAUGAGAGUAGGGACUUAUAAAGGGUAGGUCAAGUCGUCUCUGCUAAUCACCGAGGGCCGACUUGACUUAUCUUCCAAGCUCACCAAAACAGUUCACGCAAAAAAGGAAAUAAAUAGGACCCAUUUCAAAACCUUUCCUUAUUCCACAAGGUUUUGGGCAUCAAGGAAUAACUUAAUUUAAACUCUUAACAAAACUUGAUAUAACUUAGUAUCUAGUGCACCGAUCUAAAUAGGAAACAUAACAUUCUCCCACUAGAUCAAGCACUAGAGCUUUGAUAAUCUUUACUGUCCAUAAGUUUAAAACAAUUAAGUCAUUCCCUUUAAGCCACAAUGAAAAGUGAUUAGACAAAACGAACUAUAGACAAGCACGACUCUCUUUAUUAAAAAUAGGCCAUCUAUAAUCACAUAAUGCAAUCUCAGAAAACAUGAAGCACCUACCAACGCAAACCUUAAUAUGUACCAAUCCGUAAUGUGAAUCUUUAUGCUUUUCAGUGCAUGUACCUCUUUACGACUUAGCAAGAGUCAAUCCGCAAUGUUAUCAAAACAAUAGUAUCUCAAAAGAGACCAUAAACUCACUUGCAUAAACAAAUUGCAUAAUAACAUCCUUAAAUGCAACUCCCUCAAUCUAGAAAACAGCAAAUAAACAUACUAGUAAAAUAUCAGAAUGGGAACAAGACUCCCACUAGAUUGCAGCAUCAAAGCGAGGAAAUAAUCCCAUGCUCUCAACAUGUCUCAGAAAAGCUUAUGAAGGCAAAACUUUGUGAACAUGUAUGCAAUCAUAUCUUGAGUUUUGGUAUGAUCAAACAUAACUAGGUUGUUCGCUACCUUUCCCUUCACUAUUAAAUAUUUUCUGUCAAUAUGUUGAAGUCUAGACGACAUCUUGUUGUUCAUGCAGUGAAAAGCAGCCGCAAUGUUGUCAUAUAUAUAUCUGUAUUGGUCUAGAAAUCGACUCCACCACCUUAAUGUCUUUAAUAAUAUUUCUUAGCCAUACUGCAUGAGGAGUAGGCUUCAUAGCAAGCUAUGUAUUCUGAAAACAUGGUUGAACUCUAAACACCAGAUUGUUUAGCAUUCUUCCAAGCAAUAACUGCUCCUGCCAUCUUGAAAAGAAAACCUGUAGUAGAGAUGAGAUUCACAUCAACAAAACCAAUAAGCUCUAAAUUCUCCGUGCGUCUGUAAAUCAACAUAUAAGCCUUUGUUCUUUGUAGGUACCUCAAAAUCUUCUUUCUAGCUAUCCAAUGUUGCAUUCCCGGAUUUGGCUGAAAUCUUUCCAUCUUGCUAAUGCACAAGCCUAGGUCUAGCCUUGUACACACUUGUAAGUACAUAUUGCUUCAACUAGAGAAGCUUACGGCUUGUUCCUCAUCUCAUCUUCUUCUUCUUUAUUCUUAGGGCAAUGCUCAUUCUUUAAAUCUCCUUUACCUAACAGAACUUUCUGUCCAAAACACAUACUCAUGUCAAAACGCUUAAGUAUCCUUUCAAUAUAUGUUUUCUGUGACAGGCCUAGGAGACCUCGAGCUCAGUCUCUCUAAAUUUCAAUGCCUAACACAAAAGCAGCUUCUCCCAAAUCCUUCAUCUCAAAAUUGUUUGGAAGUAGCUCUUUACUGUCUUUCAAUAAAUUGUGGUCAUUUGUAGUCAAAAGUAUAUUGUCGACAUACAGCACUAGAAAAAUAAAUUGUUUCCCACAUUUCUUCGGAUAAAUGCAUUGAUCGACUAUUUUCUCUUCAAAAUCAUAAGAUGAAACAGCUUGAUGGAAUUUGAAAUACCACCUCCUGCUUGCUUGCUUCAGUCCAUAAAUUAACUUGUCAAGUUUGCAAACCAUAUGCUUUUUUCCCCCCUUUGCAAACUCUUCAGGUUGCCUCAUAAUAUUUUCUUCUUCAAGUUCAACAUUCAGGAAAGCAGUCCAUUUGAUGUAAAAGUAGGUCAUAAUGCGCCACCAAAGCCACCAUAAUGAUGCGGAAAGAAUCUUUGGUGGAAACUAAAAAAAAAUCUCAGUGUAGUCAAUUCCCUCCCUUUGGGUGAAUCUUUUUACUACCAAUCUAGCCUUAAAUCUUUCGAUUCUUCCAUCCUUAUCCUUCUUUGUUUUAAAUACCUAUUUCAAGCCAACCAAUUUCUGGCUCUUGUGAGGUUCAACUAAUUCUCAUACUUGAUUAUUCUUCAUGUUUUCGAGUUCAUUCAACAUUGUUUCCCUCCAUUUGUCUGCAUCCUGACUCUCUAUAGCUUCUUUACAACUUGUUGUAUCAACCGAUCAUCUCUAAUGUCAAAAUCUGCUUCCUGUAAGUACACAUAAUCCGAAAUUGCUGUGGAUCUUCUUCUUUUUGUUAUUGAUCAACAAGUUCUUCAUACUGAACAACCAGCCUCAACAAUUCUAAUAUUAUAAUUUGGACAAUAAAAUCUAGAACCCUUUGACCUUGUAGGAUAACCAAUAAAAUGACAUCAAAUCAUUUUAGGAUUAAGCUUCUUCUCUUGAGGGUUAUAGAUUCUUAGCUUUAGCCUUACAGCCCCAUACAUGAAGAUGUCACAGGCUAGACUUUCUGGUAGUCCAAAUUUCGAAAGGUGUCAUAGGCACGAACUUCCUAGGCACUCUAUUAAGUAUGUAAUUUACUUUUUUGAUCAGUUCUCCCUAUAGACUCUUAGGCAAAUCAGUUUUAGAAAUCAUGCUACGAACCAUAUCCUUCAAGGUUCAAUUUCUUCUCUCAGCCACACCAUUCUGUUAUGGAGUUCCUGGCAUUGUGUACUGAGCAACUAUUCCAUUAUCUUGUAGAUACCUAGCAAAAGGUCCGGCUUGUCCUCCUCCUUCAUCAAAAUGUCCAUAAUAUUCACCCCUUCUGUCUGACCUUAGAAUUUUGAUCAAUUUGGAAAAACAGUAGGGAUAUGCAAGAGCAAACAAUUUUUAUUGGAAACAUUCCUUUAAUGAAUUCCCUGGGAACUUCUAGAGUUACUUCGGAAACAAAAAAAGUAAAAUAAAAUUUAUUUUUGUUAUUCUCCAGUUGUUCGAAUUCCUUAUGAUCUGCAACUGAAACAAGUUCUUGCUAAUGGUAAAAAAGGAGCUUUGAAUGUAGAAAAAGAAAUAAUAGUAACCUGGUCCCGAGCGUCUACCAUUAUACCUACAAUGAUCGGGCAUACUAUUGCUAUCCAUAAUGGAAAGGAGCAUUUGCCUAUGUAAUCAAGGAAGCCGUACCAAAUACAUCUCUAGAAAUAUCAGAAGUAAUCCGAGCUGUAAUUGUACGUACUUGUAAAGAACUCAAACGCGACAACGGUAUGAUAAUACGAUAUGAUGACAAUGCUGCAGUUGUUAUUGAUCAAGAAGGAAAUCCUAAAGGAACCCGAAAAGCGACCCCAUAGGCUUUCGCUUUCGCGUCUCUCUAAAAUUGCAGUCAUGGUAAAAUCUUGGUUUAUUUAAUCAUUAAUCAUCAGGGACUCCCAAGCACACGAAUUCUCUUUUUCUCAAGCUUCCUUUCUACUUCAGUUUGAUAUUUUUUGAAUAUUUUAAAGCUUGAGACUUUUCUGCUAUGAGAUAUAAAUAACCAAAACGAGAAUGGUCAUCUAUAAAGGUGAUGAAAUAGCAAUUUCUAUCAAUUGUUUGAUGAGGAAAAGGUCCACAAAUAUCUGUGUGGAUGGUUUUUAAAAGAUCACUACUGCGAGUUGCACCUUUCUUUUUAGUCAUAGUGAGUUUUUCAUUAACACAUUUAAUAUAAAUUUCGUCAUCACCGAAAGUCAGUAAUGGCAAGAUUUUUUCCUUAAUAAGAAUUUUAAUUUUUUCUUUUGAAAUGUGUCAUAAACCUCCAUACCAUAACCUAGUGGAUGUUCCUUCACUUCUAAUCUUUUUCUCACUUGAUUCAGCUAUUAAAACUUCACCAUCUUCAUUUUAAUUGAGACAAUAUAAUCCAUCUUUAUUGUCUUUGAAUUCUAAGAUACAAAAACAUCUUUAUUAAAUCCAAAAUAAAACCAAGUCUUAAUAAUCUUGAAUAGAAAUUAAAUUUCUCUUUAUUUAGGGUACUAAAACUACAUCAUCCAACUCUAAAAUAAAUCUUGAAUCCAACUUAAAAUCAACUACUCCAAUAAUAUUUAAUGAAAACAAGAGGUAGCUAUCUAAUCUUCCUUGUCACAACGUGCUGCCAUGAAAGUGUUGUUCUCCCUAGAAGGUCAAGUACCACUAUCUCCCUAUUAGUGGUGGUAUUGAAAAUCUCAACAAGUGAUUCAAGUUGGGGGGUAGGUUUCACAUACUGCACUAGGAGAUUCUUGUAUCGAAGUAGCUUAUUGAUGUUUCGUCCUCUCCCAUAAGCGCAUACACCGAGCUUUACAGCGAUCCUAAGACUUCUGAGAUUGUCCUUUGUAGCCGUGUUUACCCUUAUGGGUCCUCCAUAAGGUGUCGCUGCUCCUUAACCUUUUUUCUCUCCAGCUCAUCUUCGUUCUGCUUCUUAAUUAGCUCCACUAUACGCUUUACUAGAAUUCCAUUCAUGAUUAGUUGACACGAGUUGCUCCUAUUAAUCGCCAGAUGCUUUUCCUUUUCCCUAAGCUCUAGGAAUUGUACUAUAAGAUACAUAAGGUAAGUAGCUAGCUUGAAUUAAAUAUAAUCCAUGAAUAACUUCAAAAUCAAACGUCCAUAUUUUGAAGUUCGAUCCAGUGAAUCUUUCAAUUUGCGAGAAAUUGAUUAUGACAGGACCCGCCCCGGAAUUUCCCGAAGACCGAAGCGGACCCCGUCUUUAUUCCGACAUCAUCCUGAUGCCGGGCCCACCUACUAAGAAAUCGAGACUUUCUACCAAAAUUUUGGCAGAGUCUCCCCUGUAAUUUAAGCAAUCCCAACAAAAAUUUACUCAACCUGCAACGUACACACAAAUAUAAUUCCAACCAGCAGCAUGCUUUCACAAUUCUACAAAUCACUAAAGUGGCCUCCGGCCUCAUAAGUAAAAUCUAUCAUGGGCAAUAUAGAGCAUCUACUGAAUUUAGAUUACAAGAACAGUUGAGUAGAAGAAUUUACACAGUUCCUAACUAGAAAGAUGCGCAGUUUGAGCUUCGUACACCACUCGCACGCUUCCUGGAGCGACUACUGGUUGGGGGGCGCAAAACAGAAAACAUGUGAGUGGACAAAAACCAGAUUUGCAGUUAAAAUCAAUAUAGUAACCCCACCUUGUAAAAAUAAUGCUCAAAUCAUGCAGGUUCACAAUUCAAUAGUUAAUUACUCAAAACAUGAUUCAUUAAAACUCAUCUAAAAACACCAGUUAUCUCUUUCAAAAAGAAUCCCAUUCUCUCAAUCUUGCAACUCCUGUCAAACUACUAGUUCCUUACACACUCACUAUACAUAUACAUAUAAAUAUACCUAUAUAUAUAAAUAUAACUAUAAAUAGCUAUACGAUAUACUCAUCACACCACCUAGGUACCGGGGAAAACAAUCCAACUGGGGGUUCAUUUGACUAGUCCGCAGGAUUUCCAGGUGCUAUCCUGCGUCUAGGGAUGAGCGGUCCAACCGGGGGACGAAACUCCAAAGCUCCCACACCGGAACAUCCAACGCCAUGUGUAGCUUCCAAACUAUGUCCUACGCGCGCAGACUGGGUCAUCACACACCGGAACAUCCAACGCCAUGGUGAUGACCCUAAACAUUAUACAAAGUCCUUCCAUACGCUGGAACAUCCAACGCCGCAUAUAGAAAGUGUCUCACACGCCGGAACAUCCAACGCCGCGAGUGAGACUAGUAACUGGGGAAGGUAAUUACGUAGUGUAAUCACACAACUUCUCUCCAAAAAUCACAUUCUUCCACAUCACCCUCUAACAACCCAAGUAUCUCAUCUAUAGAGAUUAUAUAAAUAUACUUCCCCACAAUCCAUAUAAAAUGCACUCUCAAAAACCCAAAAUGCCAAACUCACAAUAUAUUGCCAAGUGCUAUACGAUCGUCAAACUCAACUCAUGAACAUAAUAUAUAUAUAUAUAUCCAUAAGCCAUUAAAACAUUAUGCAAAAUCUUUCAUCGAUUAAAAACCAUACAUAUGAUUGAAAACAAAGUCCACUCACAAGUAUUCCCUCGCUGCCUGACCACGUGAGGGUCCUGCUUGCUGCGUACGUGCAGUCGAAACACCUAUUUCGAGAUACGAACCGAUAAUUAAUAUAAAAUCACGUCAAAGCGGAAAUUACAAAUUAAAUGCUUAACUCCCCAAAUUCCCCAUACGUGCACGUUGAAGAAGGUAUUCUAAGGUCCGAUUACAGGUUUAGGAAGCGUUCACGAUUUUUACGGUUAUCGCUUACCCGCAAACUUUGCAUUUUUGAAUCGGAACAUCCGGGGCUCCGAUUCAGAAUUCGUGAAGUCCCAUACGGUCCUAGAAAUUCCUAGAACAACAUAUUUUAAUUCGGGAAAGAUCUAACAGUCGGAACCUAUCGAACCCGGAUAACGCUCAAUAUGCGAAAAUCCGUUCGAUAGUCAAACGACAUCCGAAUUGAGAUCCGCGAAUUCCUAUGCGCUCGUGACAACCUAAGGAUCUCAUCGGGUUAAUUUACAGCCUCACCAGCCUUGCCCACGCACCGCCACAUGCACCGGCAGCGCGUGGGUGUGUAGAGUAAUUCCGGCGACGGAAAAACUCCACACCCGAGCUCACCCUUCCUACCCUAGCUCCUACUCGAGGUCAGGAUCACUUCAUUCAACUACGGGAAGGCCCAAUUCGGGCAGCAACUGGCCGGAAUUUCAUUUUGAAAUUCGGCCAAAACCUAGGUUUUCAAAAUCAAUUCCUACCCAACAAAUCAAUCCAAACCUAUACCACCAUCAGCUAGAACUCGAAAAAUAGAUGAGAAACCAUGCCUCACUCACCGGGUUUGGGCGGCGGAGGCGGCGGCGCGACUGCAGGAAAGAUCCGGUUCAAAACCGUCGAGCUCGCGGCCGGAUUUCGUAGUUUCCGACGGGGAAAACGGGCAGGUCUUGAUCAGGGCGACGAGGCGAGUCGAUCGGGACCGGUCUCGGGUGCUGCCGUGGCCGGAGCUGCGAGAACCGAGGAGAGAGAGAGCGGACGUCGGGGAGAGAGAGAGACUGAGGAGAGAGAGAGUGUCGAGCGCGCGCGAGGAGAGAGAGAGCUGAGGUGAAAAUCUGAUUUUUACUUUAUCCCUUUUCGAAAUAUUUACCGUUUUGCCACCGAUACUAUUUUGCCCGUAACUUUUCCGUUACAACUCCGAUUCAAGCCUACCGCAUGUCUACGAAUUCGUCUCAGUACCAUCUACCCAGAAAUACCAUUCGUGGUCCCAAAAUCCUUCCGAAGAAGAAAGUGGCCAAUUUACCCCUACCCCAAGGGUAAAUUCGUAAUUUUAUUUAAAUCAAUUAAAAUAAACAUUUAAUUUGGAGUCGGGGUGUUACAGAUUAAGGGAGUGUUCAAAGCUGUAAGGAUUUGUAAAAGAAAACACAAUUACUUUCCAAGAAACCGAUUCUCAAUUUGUUAAGAGAAAAUAAUUUUUCUGUGUAACUUUAUUCACAAAACUAAUAAAUAACAUAUGCAAACUUCCUUAAUUAAGUAUCACACCUUUGUGGCAAGAGAUUACUUAUAGCUUACACAAAUUACGUGUUAUCUUGUGCCAUCACAAAUAAAUUACAGGAUAGAUUCUAUUUGUUAAAGAAACUUAUCAAGUAAUUUUGGCAUGAUGCAAUUUUAGUUAUUUCUUUAGGGUUUGAGUAUUUGGGUUUGGUUUUGUUAUGACAAAACAUAGUUCAAGAGAGAAAACCCUAAAUUGCAGUGAAUAGUAACUUCUACCCUAAACAGUGUUUUAGGGGUUUUUGGUGUUCGUUUUUGACGCAAAAUACCUUUUUGAAUAAGGAAUGACCUAAUUAACACAGCACAUAGAUUUCCUGUGAUAUAUGGGCAUUUUUAGGGUUUUAAGGUCAUCUAGUAGGUCAAAAACGUGUUUAAAGUUUUGAAUAUAUGAAAAAUCAAAUUAAACAAAUAAGAAAUCGUAAUAGGCAUGCUUGAAAAACGAUUUCAGUGUGUGCAAAUAACCAUGUGCUUUGAUACCAACUGUUAGAUUUAUUUAUAUGCGCGUUCAUGAUCUUUUACACAAUCUGAAAUACGCAGAGACAUACCUAGGGCCAUCUUUCUUGAAUACACGACCUCUGAACUCAUUCAACCGUAGUAGCAACAAUCCCACUCAUUCAACCCCAAAAGCAACAAUCCCAACAAGAACAGGAAUGGCUCAAGACAUCUGCUCUAUCUCAGAAUCUGUUUCAGCUCUCUCUUUAUGAUGAGAUUAGGGUUAAAGAACGUGUCUGAUGAGAGCAAGGCCUUAAGCUUAUAUAUGGCUAGGUUAAGUUGUCUCUACUCAUCAUCGAUGGCCGACUUGACUAAUCUUCCAAGCCCACCAAGACGGUUCACGCAAAAAAGAAAAUAAAUAGGACCCUUUAAUAGGUUUCAAAACCUUUCCUUAUUCCACAAGGUUUUGGGUCUCAAGGCAUAACUUAAUUUAAACUCUUAUCAAAACCUAAUAUAACUUAAUAUCUAGUGCACCGAUCUAAAUAGGAAACAUAACAUCCAAGCAUCAACUUAUGUCCAGCUUAGAUCAUUUGAGUUUAUUAUUUCAAAGCUAAGUUGCUCGUGAGUUCCCAGAAACAAAAGAAUGAGGGCAGAGGGCCCAAAGAGGACAAUAUCAUAUUAUGGCAGAGCCGAUCCGGUAUGUGACAAGAUCAAGGCAAUCAGGGACUAAAAAAAAAAGUGUGGCACAAGGCUCAAAGUUGAAUCCUGUGAGAAAUGAGAAGCAAACAUAAACUCAGGCUUUGUGAUCCUUCAAUUUUUAUAGGACGUCGAUUUCGACUUUGGAAAAGCUUUUUAGAAACCUCCUCCGAUUCUCUUAAAUAAACUUACCACUAUAUAUAUAUAAGCUCAUAUUUUGUGGAUACUAGCUGGGGGAACAUAAAAUCUUUUCUAAGAAAAGUAAUUAUCUGAAUGUCGGAGUGGAGACGAGAAAGAUUCAAAGAUGUUUGAUAAACUAGCCGGCCAUGGUGUCAUUGUCAGGUUCGGUUUUGAAUAUUGAUAUAUGAAUGUUUCUGUAUGCAGUUUCAUGCACCACAAAACAUAAAAAGUAAAAACUUACCUAAGAAUUUUCAUUGACAAACUGGGAUAUCAUCACGAAAAAUCAAAAGUUAGGUUUGAUAAUAUAGAAAUUAAUGAAGAAUAUGGUAGGACAUUAUUUUUAUUGUGGCAUUGACCAGAGAAUCAUCUAUCACAAAGGCUUGAUAGCAUCAUAACAUCUGUUUAUGUUCAAAGUUUGAAACCUGACUAAAAAAAGAAAGUUUUUUUUUCUUUUCUUCUUCUUGUUUCAGCUAAUGGAACUAAAUGGGAAAGGACUUGGGGGAACUGAAACUUGAACUAUUCCUUCAAGCAUCAGCAUAACCUUCUUCAUAGUAGGUCUCACUGCAGGGUCUUCUUGGAUGCACCAAAUGGCAACCAUCACAAAUCUCUCAACUUUGUUCAUAUCAUUCAUGGGAUGAGUGAGGAGAUGAUGAAAUUGUUUGGAGAAAAGAAAUAGAAAGAGGAAAGGAGCAGAACCGAGAAGGAAAAAAAAAUAUAUUAGAGUCGGAUCUAGUCUAAUAAUGGAAAAGAUAAAGACAGCAGCUUUACAACGCACUAAUCUAAGAACAUACUAACAAGACCAUAUGUACAUAUUUGAACCAACUUUACAACUCAUUGAGGUGGGUUGCACACUUGUCUUCUGUGGAAGUAACUUUGGUGGGUUGCAUGUUAUUCCUUUUAGGUUUCAGCCUGUUCUGGUAUACGGAGAGGGACAUGGAGGAACAUGUACUUCCACCACGCCUUCAAGCAUCUGCACAACUUUCCUCAUAGUUGGUCUAAGAGAUGGGUCUUCUUGAAUACACCAAAUACCAAUCAUCACAAGCUUCUUUCUAUCAUCCAAUGCCUCAACUUCAUAAUCUAGAACAGCAUCUAAUAUCCCAUCACGGUAGCAAUCGUACACCCAAUCCGUUAAAAUUGCUCUGUCUUCACAGCCAUUUUCCACAUCAACGCUUCUCCUACAGCAAAUGAUCUCAAGCAGCACAACACCAAAGCUAUACACAUCAACUUUGGCAGUGAUUGGCAUGUUCCUGAACCACUCAGGGGCAACAUACCCUUUUGUUCCUCUAAUGGCAGUAUGUGUGUGGCUCUGAUUCAUCAUCAAAAGCUUUGCCAAUCCAAAAUCAGAGAUCCGAGCAGUGUAAUAAUCGUCAAGCAGUAUGUUCUGAGGCUUUAUAUCACAAUGGAUGACUUGGGUGCUGCACUCUUCAUGCAAGUACAAAAGUCCCUUGGCAACUCCACAAGCAAUUUCAAAUCGCUGCGUCCAACUGGGUUUUGUAUCAGCAAAAAGGAAGCUUGCUAACGUGCCAUUGCUUAAGAACUCGUAUACUAGCAAUCGAUGUUCCCCUUCGUCACAAUACCCAACCAGGCAAACUAGAUUCUUGUGAUGUGUCUUACCAAUUACGCUCAGUUCUGUCUUGAAUUCCUUCUCACCAUCUUGUAUCACACAGUUUAGCUUCUUCACUGCCACUUGGACACCAGAACCAAUUUGUAUUGUCCCUUUGUAAACAACUCCAAACGCACCCCUUCCUAAUUCUUCUGUGAAUCCAUUUGUAGCUUCUUGAAGCUCUCGGUAACUAAAAGAAUACAAAUUUGAGUCCAACAUAUUUUUGAUAGACCUUACUUGUUUCUUCCGGAAAACGAAUAAAAAUCCCAGACAAACAGCAGCACUAAAUAUAAAACUAACAAAGAUAGAGGUAGCCAGAAUUACGGAUUCCACGGGUAUCAAAGUGUUACUGCUCUUCUUCUUCUUAUCAUCUGGAUUUGGCAUUGGAGAAAAUUGUAGAGUUGGGUUAUCCUUUCUGACUUUGAAGAAAGCCUUUGAAUUAAGACUGACAUCCACUCUCCCAUUUGAGAGAGGUAAUUUCUUUUUCCAGCAGGUUUCAUUCCUGAAAACAGCAACAGCACACAAACAAUCUUGAAAGCAAGAUUCAUUGCACUUUUCUGCAGUAAAAGGUCUGAACUCUGCAUAAUCUGAGAUUGGCCAAUCAAUAUUUGUCAUCACGAUUACAUCAUAUGGAUCUUUUGUGGUAGUAAGCUCAUCUUCUUCACAGCCUUGUAUGAAAUCCGGUUUGCAGCUCCCAAAUGGUUCCUUUGGAUCAAGUAAAGAGAAUCCUCUUGGGCAUUGACAGGUUGGCCUAUUAUCAGCGUUGAGCUUGCAGAUACUGUUGUACCCACAAAUACCAAAACCUGAAUCUUCUGUAAUUCUUCGGCAAAUAUCAUCUGGCUCUGACCACAGAAGAGUCCAGCUUACAUUUCCAGUGAAAUUCUUUGGGUGAUAAUACUGAGCGAAAAUCCCAUCAAAGUUGAGAGUUGCUCUAAUAUAGUUGUCCCUUGCUGAGACUACCUCUUCCCCUGCAAGAUUGUACUUUCCACCAUUCUCUCUCAGAACAUACAAGUAGCCUGAGACAUUGAAAACCAAUUCUUUACCUUCACUACCUGCCACAGUCCCUGAGGUAGUGUCGGUUUCAUAGUAAGGUUCGUUGGCAAAUUCUGUUGGCAAGUUUAUGGAGCUGAGCACAAGUUUCCCAUCUUCUUGCAGAAGCAGCUGGAACCGUCCUUUUGAAUAGUCAGUCUCCGAAUAUCGAGAUGAGAGCGUCCCACUUCUUUCAAUUUUCUGUCCAGGCAACAAGGUAUCUGUAGGAUUGUUGAAGGUCUCCCAUAAAUUUCCUGAUUUGCCAUCUUGAAGAACAAAGUUGCCAGUAUUAUUCAUGACCCCAUUGGCAACAACACCAACAAUGGUUUCAGAUUUCCAUAGCUCUUCACCCUGAGGACUUGCAAGCUCUAGUCCACUGUUAGCCAAGUUCACAGUUGAUCCAUUAGGUGCAAGCGCAGGCUUAUUAUCCCUAUUUGCAUACCAAACUAUGGUUCUGUUUGGUAUUUUGGCAUACCAUAUUGAGAGCAGGAAAAGAUCAUUGUUUCCAAGUGGCAGAAAUCCAAAGGCAAAAUCACCAGAUGGAGAAAACCAUGGUGAGGAGUUACCUGCAGUUGCAGUAAGAGAAGCACCGACUGCUAUGCUACCGUUAGUUUGAGCAAACACAGAAACUGGUAGCAGAAACAGUGAGGAAAACAGAAGCAGCCGUACAGUAAUAGUCAUUGCUAAUUUUCUAGCACCGAUGUGGUUAACCGAUGUAGUUAGGCGUACUACAAUAUCCUUUCUGUAAAUGCGUGCACAACAUCUUGCUGUGAGACGGCAAGGUGACAGCGUGACGCAAAGACAAAAACUUCAGAAUUUUUUAUGAUGAAUUGGAUUAUUUCCUAUAUUUUUAUAUCUCUCUUAUAUUUGGUUUUUGUAAGGAAAGUUAAUUAAAAAUAGCAUUAUUACCUUACUUUCUUUAUUUUCAGCUAUUAUGCGCGCUUGGAAGGAUUUCGACGGAAAAUUGACUUUUCGAAUGAAUUUUAGCGCAAGACCAAUUGGAGAAGAAAGCUAAGACAUUGAAGAUCAUUGUAUCACAGUUUUAUAAUUUUCUACUAAGCCAAAUUCUCCAAACUUGCAAGUCAAGACAGCCUAAGUUGAAAUCCCAUCAGAACUGCACUACUAUGGAAGAUUGAAGAUUUGAAGCUUUUUCCGAUUUUUCCUAGUAGCGUGUGACAUAUGCUUGGAAAUUUUAGAGAUCAAGCUACAUUUCUCAUAUUUUGCCAUAAUUUUCUAGGAAGCGUAAGGACCCCAAAACGUGCGUGCAAUUUGACUGACAUGUUUCCAAGUCAAAGAAGGAUUCUUUCUUAGUUUAAUUGUUUGAGAUUUUGUUAUGCUUUAGGAGAGCUUUUCUAGACCUUUUUAGAGUAGGUUUUAGUUGUUUUACACUAUAUUGGUCGCCCUAAGCUCUCUCUAUAUGGACCAUCUUUUUCUACCAUAUACUUUUCACCAUAUUUCACUACACCCACAAAUAUAUCACAGAGAGAGCCAAGAGUUUGCUGUAGCAGUGCUUUUGGAGCUUACAAAGGUGUUGCUGUGGAGAAUCCAGUGAUCAAAUUCAUCUGCCAAAUCGGUUUUAUGACAACAAUUCUCUUGUUUAUCUUUUCUUUUGUUAUGAACUAAUUUGUCUUACUAGGGCUAUGAUGUAGCCUAACCAUGAACACUUAAUUUUUAUAGUUAUAUUAAUUUCUUAUUACUAUUUCAUGUUGAGUAUUUUUUACUAUUCUUAAUGCUUCAAAUAUCUAGCUAAUAUUUAAUUGGUGAUCCAAACGGAGAUCGAGAGGAGAUGUUUGGUGUUUGCUUCUUGUAAUAAAUACCAUGUCUUGAUUGAGUGCCCGAGAGGGACUAACAUGACUCAUGCAAUUUUCUUGCAGGUUCUCAUAGAGCUUAAUGGGUUCUUGAUUUUCUAAAUUCGUUGCUCGAGAGAGAAUGAGUUGUUAAUUAAGAAAAUUUUUGGUUGAGCCCUAGAGGGGAUAUCAAAUGAAUUAGGAGAAACCAACUGUCAACAUGGGUAGUAAUUAGGGUUAAUUGGCUAUAAGAAUUAACUGGAGUUGGUUAUGGUGAAAUCGGAUGCUCUAGUGUCUCAUCAACUUGAUUUUCCAUUGUUAAUUAAGUUGCUAUUUUUUAUAUAUGUUUUAAUUUAGUUUAAUAAAUCAAUCACUCUCAUUAAUCAAUUGUUCAAAUAAACUUCUAAAUUAACCAUAAUUGGUACUUAAAUAGAAAUUACAGUCUUCGUGGGAAUGACACUUCACUUAUCUCUAUAUUACUUGUGCGAAUUGUGCACUUGCAAUAAUUUCAGAACCACCUACAAAAUUUGAAAAUUGUUAUGAAUAGUUAUUGAUGAAAUCAUCAGUUGGAGCUUUGUCUUUUUGUUUUUGGAUUGUGGGUGCGAAGUCUAUUUCAAUGUUUUAUAAUGUAGGGUAAUUACUUGGAAGCUGAAAUUUUCUUUGACUCCUUCAAGCAUCAACUUAUGUCCAGUUAGAUCAUUUGAGUUUAUUGUUUCUGAGCUCUUUGAAGAAAAAUCCAAAAAGCGCAGCAGCCUGUCAUGAUUGAAUAUUGUCCCACAUUGAAAAGUUUGGGAACUAGCAUAUGACCUCAUAGGAUAGGAUUAUUUGUCAAAACUUUACCUUGGCAAUUUUACAAACCCACUUACUAAUGUAGUUUGAGGAUCACUUGGCGAAAAAAAAAAUGUAGUUUGAGGAUCAAAUUCGGAUGUUUCAAAAUGGAGAGACCACCAAUGUGGUUCAAGGCAUACCAUCUAUAGAAAGCAAGAAAAGAUCACUGUUUUCAAGUGGCCAAAAUCCAAGGGCAAAAUCACCAGAUGGAGAAAGCCAUGAUGUAUGAGGAGCUAGGUGAGUAUGGUUUCUUAAAUCAAAGAAUCCCUUGGCCUAUUGUUGAGCAUGAACACAGAGUUUUAUUUAAGUUUUUCUUACGCACGAUCACUCCAUCAAAUGUGCAUAACAAUCACUUUGAUCAAACUAAACGAAUCAAACUUGGUUUUUGGAAUUUUUUUCUUAAAAUUUUGAAUUAGAUCAGGGCAAUCAGGGACAAAAAAAUGUGUGGCACAAGGCUCAAAGUUGAAUCCUGUGAGAAAUAAGAAGCAAACAUAAACUAUUAGGAGCUAGAACAAACAUAAACUCAGGCUUUGUGAUCCUUCAAUUUUUAUAGGACAUCGAUUUCGACUUUGGAAAAGCUUUUUAGAAACCUCCUCCAAUUCUCUUAAAUAAACUAACCACUAUAUAUAUAUAAGCUCACAUUUCGUGGAAACUAGCUGGGGGAACAUAAAAUCUUUUCUAAGAAAAGUAACUAUCUGAAUGUCAGAGUGGACGAGAAAGAUUCAAAGAUGUUUGAUAUAGCCGGCCAUGGUGUCAUUGUCAGGUUUGGCUUUGAAUGAUACAUGAAUGUUUCUGUAUGCAGUUUCAUGCACCACAGAACAUAAAAAAUAAAAACUUACGUAAGAAUUUUCACUACUACAAAAAGUGAAAAAGACGACCAGAAAACAACGACGGUCUCAGUGAAAACCGUCGUGGUUUUUAAAACGACGACGGUUCUAAAAACACCGUCGUGUAAUACCACCUUAGACAACUAAAAAGGGAGAUUCAAAUGGCUGUUCAAAAACAACGACGUACUUAAUUAAACAACCGACGUCUAUUUGAAACAGAUUUCCGCAGUGUAAAAUCAAAGCGAACAAAGAACGGCAGAAGUUAUGAAUCGACCGACGUAGAAAGUAAAGACGACGAUUUCAAUAAAAGCCGCCGUUUUUACUUAUAAAAUAACACGACGAGGUUUUCGUAUAAGACGCUGUCUAAUUACAAACAAAUCCACGGCUGUAAAAUACAAAAUAUCGCCGUAUUAAAUUAAUUUACAACGACGACAAAUAUAAAUAUAUCGACGUCAUUAUUGUAUAGUUCUACGACGUUCUCUUUAAAUCGUACUAUAAAAUCUAACGUCGUAUUUAUGCAUUUUAUACGUCGUACCUUUAAUUUAAACCGUCGUCUUAAUAAGAAUUUUUGUUAACAAUUUUUUUCUUUGAUUUUCUUAUCCUACGUCGGUAGAUAUACUUAAUGACAAGAAUUGAAAUAACCACGACGGUUUAUAUAAAAAACCGCCGACAUAAUCAGAUUUUUCUGAGAUCCCAAGGGUUACGAAAUCUUACCAGAUGGAACUCUGUUCCACAUCAUAAUCUUAACAGAUGACACAGAUUUGAAAUCAGAGAGACAAUUUUUUGGAAGUUGAUGAUGUGUGUGCGUUUGUUUAUCUACAAAUAUUAUACCUAACGUCGUUGCAAAUUUGCAAUCAGAGAAACAAUUUACAACGACGGUUAUAUUAUACCUAACGACGUUUAAAACAAAAAUCAACGUCCCUAAACAAAUAUAUUACGUCGUCUUAGUCUUACUUAAGACGACGAAAAACGACGACAGUAAUACAAAAACAGUCGUUGUUUUUAUAUUCUUAUUUUAUUUAAAUUCCAGAACAUUAAUUUCCUUCAUUUUAAAUUUCCUCCGGAAAAAAAACUCUAUUUAUAACGCACUGUAAUUGAAAAAUAAACUGAAAGUUCAAGGGAAAAAAAAUUCUAUUCAUAAUUUAAAAAUUAAAAUCCACGUCGGUUAUAUUAAAUAUAACGACGUUAAAUGAAAUGAGUCCACGUCGAACUAAAAAUAUUGCGUCGUGUUAGUUAAAAACGACGUAGUUAAAUGUCACCGCCGUAUUUUUUUUUUGAAAUGGUUUUAUAUGUAAGCAACUUUUCGACUUACACAUGCACUGUUUCCAAACCCGAUUAAAAAUCUCAAUCUCCCAGAGAAACCUUUUCGUCUUUUUUCCUUGUCAGAGCAUUGUCAGAGUUUCUCAUCGUCUUCCUCUCGUCUUCUUCGUCGUCUCUGAAUUUAAACAUCGAUCAUCUUCCUCUUGCUUUCAUUGCACGCAAAAGGUAAGCUUUCAUUUUCACUAUUUUGGUUACUGUUUUGCAUGCUCAUACGUUUUUUGUUUGAAAAAUCUUUUUACCUUUUUUCUGGCCAAAAUCAUUUUACUUCUUUCCAAGUUUGAUAAAAUAUACAGACAAAGAGGGAAAGUUUCCAACUUUGAAGACAACUACCUCAACUAAAUAAGACGACGGUAGACCACGACGGUUCGUCAGUUGUUCUAGCGUCGUCUGAAAAUUGACAAAGUUGUUUUUAAUAUAAUAGUCUUUUUUUAUAUGCUUGUUUAAUUGCAGGUUUGAUUUCUCUGAACAAUGGUUUUUGUUUUUCCCUUAUUUGAUAAAAUAUAAAGAAAAAGAAACUAGGGUUGGUAUCUAAUAUAGACGAAAAAUAUCUUAUUGUUUUACGUCGUGUGAAUGUUAAUACCACGACGGUGUAUUACUAUUGACGUCGUAUGAACAUAAAUACCACGACGUUAUAUAAAUAAUAGUUUUACCACGACGGUGUAUUACUAUUGACGUCGUGUGAACAUAUUUACCACGACGUUAUAUAAAUAAUGGUUUUAAACAUUUAUUACGUCUGAGAUUAUUUCAUUGCGUCGUCUAAAAUCAUAUCAUACGUCGUAUUUUUUUAAUACCGUCGUUUGUGUUCUUAAUGUUUUCCUGAAAUAUUUUCACUUGCAGUUUUGUCUGUUAAAAUGGUUUCUCAACAACAAACUAAGGAUUCUGGCUCCAAGAAGCUUGGAGUGGUAGCUCCCCAAGACAAGUCUUCGAAGGAGAUGAAGUCUUCGAAGAAGAUGAAGUUUGCUUCAUCAUCUGCUGAGACAGAACCAACCAGCCAGACAACAAUCUCUGAUGAUUCAAAGACUGGUCGAGGUAUGAGCACAAUGCCUCGUGUUGUGAAGAGAAAGCUUCAGAAACUGAGGCCAAUUGUUGAGUACAAUAAAAGGGGGAAAGGUGUUGGCCAAGCACAUAUUGAGAUGCAGUCGUAUAUUGGUGUCUUGGCACGCUCCAGGAUCCCACUUGUGGACAAGAAAUGGUCCCAAAUCCCAAAGGAUAUAAAGGAGCAGAUUUGGGAAGCAGUUGACAUGGCUUUUGUCGUAGGCCAAGGGGGCAAGACCUCUGUUUUAUCUUCUGCUGCCAAAAAAUGGAAGGAUUUCAAGUCUACACUAACGAGGCAUUAUAUCCUUCCAUACACCAAUGACAGGGAGAAAUUAAGCCAACCCCCUGAAACAUAUAAAUUCAUAGAGAAAGCACAAUGGGAUGCCUUUGUAGCUUCAAGGCUAUCCAAAGAUUUUCAGUCUGUGCAUUCUCAACAUUCACAGAUUAGGGAGAAACUCGAGUACAAUCAUCGAUUGUCUCGAAAAGGAUAUGCUGGAUUGGAGGAUCAAUUGGAGGAAACCAUGCCUGGGGUAGAAAUUGAUCGAUCUACCUUAUGGAAGGGAGCUAGACAGGACAAACAUGGUAACAUCCCUGAUCCAAAGGUGGCAGAGAAGGCAAAAUUAAUUGUAAGCCUACUCACUCUGUUUUAAAUUUUUAUUAAACUGUGAAUUAUUCUUAUUACGUCGUAUGUUAUAUUUUUCGUCGUGUGAAUGAUAUUACCACGUCGAAAAGUUUUUAAAAACGUCGUUAACGGUCUAAAUAGGAAUCACUACUCUGUUUUCUGUUAUUAUAGCAUACGACGUCGGUGGUUCAUUCUCGCGUCGUGUGAAUGAUAUUACCACGUCGAAACUUUUGUAAAAACGUCGUUAACGGUCUAAAUAGGAAUCACUACUCUGUUUUCUUUAAUUAUAGCAUAAGACGUCAGUUGUUUAUUCAUUUCGUCGUUUUAAAUAAAUAACCACGUCGGUAUAACUACCGUCGUGAUAAGUUAUAAUAACGUCGUUUUAUAUGUUAUUGCAUCGUGUGAAAUUAUAUAAUACGUCGUUUGUACAUAAAUAACCGUCGUGUGUUUUUUUGUUUAUCUUUGUUUUAGGAUGAAUUGCAGAAACAAGUCUCGGAAGGCAAAGUCAGAGUAGAUGGCAGCAAUGAUGUGCUGACCAUGGCUUUGGGCCCCGAGCAUCCAGGCAGGGUGAGGGGAGUUGGUGCUGGUGUUUCCCCAAGGCAAUAUUUCAAUUUGCCCAAACCACAGAGGGUGAGCUUUGACGACCGUUUGAAGGAGAGUUUAAGAGUUCUCCUUCAAGAAGAGACUAAAAAGAUUGAGGCUAAGGCAAGGGAAGAGGCCUUAAGGAUGGAGGCUAGGACAAAACAAUUGGUAGAGGCUGAGAGGGAGCAUUUCCUGAGUCAGCUUUCCCAAUUAAUUCCCAAUUUUGAUCCAAGCAUGCUUAAACCAAGAAUUAGCCAAAGCCCCAAAAAUCCAAUGUCUGACAAAGCUAGCUGCUCUGGAGGUGAUGUGAGAUCCCUACAUUUGGAGGAUGAUACUGCCAAAAUGGGGAAACAUCAGCCAGAUGAAGAGAAGGAAGAAGAAAAGAGAGAUGAAGAGAAGGAAGAAGAAAAAAGAUAUGAAGAGAAGGAAGAAGAAAAAAGAGAUGAAGAGAAGGAAGAAGAAAAGGAGAAAGAAGAUGAAGAAAAGCAUGACGACAAGGUAUGUUAACAUAACUUUUUUAUUUGUUUUUCAAAAUUUCAGACGUCGAUAUUUUUAUUUAAUCCGUCGUUUGUUUACAACUUAGACGGCGGAAUUUUUUUAAGACGUAAUAAAAUAUUUAAACGACGGUUUUUUCACCGUCGUUUAAAUGGUUUCAAACGACUCUUUAUUCAUAAAACCGUCGUCUUUAUUAAAUUACCACGACAAUUUUUUCACCGUCGUUUAAAUACUUUUAAAACGACGUUUUAUUCCUUAAACCGUCGUCUUUAUUGAAUUACCACGUCAUUUUUUUUAUUUCUUUAAACAGGUUAUUGAAGUUGGUGCUUAUUCAAAAAUGGAGGCGCCAUCUUCUUUAAAAACCCUUUGUCGUUUUGUGGAAACGACACUCCUGCCUGAGGAUAAGACAGUCCAAUUUACAAUUGAUAAGGAGGUGUUUGGUGGUGAGCGCGAUACCUUCCUCCUGCCUGAAGAUAUUACACAAUUUGCAGGCAUGGAAGAAAUUGGAGCUACUGUAUUGGCUGUAUAUAUGAGGUUUGUACUUCUAAAAUAAUAACUCGUUGGUUUAUAUAUUGCGUCGUCUUAACUAACUAACCACGUCGUCUUAACUAACAACCGUCGUGAUAAAUAUAUUAUAACGUCCUCAUCUAUUUCAGUACGUCGUUUGAAAUAUUAUAAUACGUCGUUUUUUUUAUACAUAACCGUCGUGUUUUGUGUGCUGACUUGUUUAUAUUAUUUUAUUUGUUUAGGUACUUACACGAUGUUUUGAAAAAAGCCAAUAUGUGCAGUAUGGUUGGCUUUAUCGACCCUGCUACAGUUAGCGCCAACUCUGGCACAAUAACUGCAAGAUCACGACUGGUAGCAGCUCGACUUCAGAAGACAGACGGUGAACAGAUUUUCAUGAUGCCUUACAAUCCAGGGUUAGUCUCCUUAGGAUUUUGUUUUUAUGAUUUUCAAUAAAUGACAGCUUAUAAACUAACCACGUCGGUGUUUUAUUUUAUUUAGUCGUUUGAAACUACUAACCACGUCGGUAUUUAUUUAUCGUCGUGAUAAAUAUAUAAUGUCGUCGUUAGCUACUUUACUUCGUCGUGUGAAAUACUAUAAUACGUCGUUUUUGUAAAUAACCGUCGUUUUUAUAUAAAUUUUGUGCAGCCGUCAUUGGAUCUUGCUGAUUGUAAGUGCAAAGAAGGAGACCGUCUAUUUUCUGGAUCCUCUGCCAGGUCAUCGUGUGGUCGACGAAGAGGCGAAAAACAUCGUGAACAGUGCUUUAAAAAUAUAUAAUACCCACAUAGCCCGAGCAGGACGUAAAAAUGUAAUUUGGAAAACUCUCUCAGGCACACCAAAGCAACCCAGCAAUGUCGAAUGCGGGUAUUAUGUAAUGCGCUUCAUGAGGGACAUCAUCAUGGAUCCUUCCUUGGGGUUUGAGAAUAAGGUAAGAAGAAAUUACCUUCAUACAUUUCACGUCGUUUUUUGUAUUAUCAACGACGGUCGUGUAAAAUUAACGUCGUUGAAUGGAUAUACUACGUCGGUUAUGAAAAAUAUCGUCGUCUGUGAUUGAAUUUCUUUUUAUUUAUAAACCCUAAUAGUCAUUGUUUAUGCAGUAUGCCAAGGGAAACCAGGAAGCUUCAUACCCCCAAGAAGCCAUUGAUGAAGUCCGGAAUGAAUGGGCAGAGUUUGUUUUCCAAAUUAUUAAACAGGGCAAUUAUUGAACACUUGAUAUUUAUGUAUAAUGUACCAAUUUUCUCUAUAAUAUGUAAUGUAAAAAUUUGUUGAGGUUUUCUUAAAUUAAAAAAAAAACAAACAUACAAAUUGCUUAACCGACGUGUAAUACUUUUCCAACGACCUAAUAAAGUCAAUAACCGUCGUAUUUUGUUGUUGCGUGUUUUAAACAAAUACGACGUAAAAAAAUAGUUAGACGACGUUCUUUGAACAAUUGAGUCGUUAAUGGUUUACAAUAUCUUCAAUUUCUUAAGGGUUCAGGGUAUAAUCGACGACGUUUAUGUAACGACUGCGGUUAAGUCGUAAAAUAUAUAUUUUACGUCGUAUAGUUAAAUAGCCGCCAUGGUUUCUCAUUUUAACGACGUCAUUUUAACGACUUAGUAGUCUAUUACAAUUUACAACGUCUACAAUUUAUUUAACACCGACGUGGUUUGUUGUAUGGUAAGAAUAUUUUAUUAUUUUUAUAUCAAAAUAUUCAAAAUAAAUAUAAAAUAAAUCAGAAAAUUGAAAAGUCAACUCCUAUGAAGUCAUUGAUAUAUUUUCUUCCACAUAAACCUUGAAAAAAUUCAUUUUGAAUAACAAAAAUUUAAAAUGACCAUCCAAAACAAAAUUGUUUUGAUGAGUCAUAAAAUCACUUCUAGUUUUAUGGUUUAGGGUUUAGAGUCUAGGGUUUAGAGAUUAGGGUUGUUAUUUAUUGGGGUUUAUUUUUAAAGUAUAAUUUUUGGGUAGUCUAUGUUAUAUGUUAGGCUUUAAAACCAUAAAACCUUUUAUAAACUUAAUUUUUUAAAUUGUAUAAUUUAAUUUUAUGGGUUUAGGGUAUUAAUUUUUAACGACGGUGUUUGGGUCGUGGAAUACAUAUUUUACGUCGUACAGUAAAACAUACGACAUGGUUUACGCUUUAAACGACGUCAUUUUAAUAUGUAAGUCGGUUUAUAUAAUUUACAACGUUUUUAAUUUCUUAACACCGACGUGGUUUCUCAUUUUAACGACGUCAUUUAACGACUUAGUAGUCUAUUACAAUUUACAACGUCUACAAUUUAUUUAACACCGACGUGGUUUGUUGUAUGGUAAGAAUAUUUUAUUAUUUUUAUAUCAAAAUAUUCAAAAUAAAUAUAAAAUAAAUCAGAAAAUUGAAAAGUCAACUCCUAUGAAGUCAUUGAUAUAUUUUCUUCCACAUAAACCUUGAAAAAAUUCAUUUUGAAUAACAAAAAUUUAAAAUGACCAUCCAAAACAAAAUUGUUUUGAUGAGUCAUAAAAUCACUUCUAGUUUUAUGGUUUAGGGUUUAGAGUCUAGGGUUUAGAGAUUAGUGUUGUUAUUUAUUGGGGUUUAUUUUUAAAGUAUAAUUUUUGGGUAGUCUAUGUUAUAUGUUAGGCUUUAAAACCAUAAAACCUUUUAUAAACUUAAUUUUUUAAAUUGUAUAAUUUAAUUUUAUGGGUUUAGUGUAUUAAUUUUUAACGACGGUGGUUGGGUCGUGGAAUACAUAUUUUACGUCGUACAGUAAAACAUACGACAUGGUUUACGCUUUAAACGACGUUAUUUUAAUAUGUAAGUCGGUUUAUAUAAUUUACAACGUCUUUAAUUUCUUAACACCGACGUGGUUUUUCAGUCGUCGUUAUAUAAAAAAUUCAAAAUAAAUUUAAAAUUAAUCCGAAAAAUGAACGGCCUUACGUUCUUAAUCCGAAAAAUGAAGUUUCCGUCGUGGAAUAUUAAAUUUACGUCGGUACUUGUAGAACUUUCGCCUUGGUUUUUCUUUCGACGUUUUAUAACGCGCGCGCUCUAAAAAUUUUCGCGCGACCUAAAUUUUUUUAGAUUUGGCUCUUAGUCUUAUACUUCGAUCCCUGAAACCUAAAAUUUCAGAUUUCACGCGACAUAACAUUUCGCUCUCUCACUUCUGCUCUAAUUAAAAGUUGCACUCUCCAGGCUCGUCGAAUCUGUGAGCUCGUCCAACCUGUAAGUACAAACCCUAUCUUCCCCUUGUAAAUUCAUUGAAUGAUAUUAGGUUGUUUUGUUAAAGGGUUUUAGGUAUAUGCUUUGCGAUCUGUUAAUAAUGUGCUUAUAGGUAUGGGUUCAUGGAUUUCUGUUUAAUGGGUUCAUGACAAGAUCAAAUAAAGGUGUACUUUUGCUGGAAAUCAACACAAAAAGACACAGAUCACCAACUUCCAAAUGAUUUCCAGCAAAAGGACACCUUUAUUUGAUCUUGUCAUUUUCCGCUCUGGAGAAGGUGCAAAGUGCACCAAUGCUUAUAGGUAUGGGUUCAUGGAUUUUCUGUUUAAUGGGUUCAUGGAUUACAUUAUCUGUUAUGUUGAAUUGGGAAUGGAUUUAAUUUUGUCGUAUCUUUUAAUCACCCUAUGUUAUGUUGAAUUGGGAAUGGAUUUAUUGUUUUCAUGCUUGGUUUCAUGUAUAUGUUGGUUUCUUGCUUGGUUUCAUAUAUAUGUUGUGUUCUUAAUGGGUUUUGUGUUCUUGAAAAUAAACUGAGACACGACGAAUUUUAAGGCGUACGACGACGAUUACACGACGGUUUUUUUAAACUACCGUCGUUGUAUUACUUAUACACGACGGUUUUUUCAUAAACCGUCGUUUGUAUUACUUAUAAUAGACGACGUCUGUUGAAAAUCCGUCGUCUAUAUAUGCCAAAUACGUCUGUUUUUGAUUAAAACCCGUCGUCUCUGUUGUUUAUUACUUGCGAUUAGAUCAUUGUAUAAUCUGCUAUAGUGAUGGUCAUUGCCUGUAUUUUCACUUUAUUAUAGAUAAUAGGUUAUAGUGUCGGAGAUGGAUAAGUCAUGGAUGCACUCGGAUAGAAGAUCGAAGGCAUAUGAGUUUGGGGUGGAAGCAUUUUUGAACUUUGCUGUAGAAAAUCUUCUAACUACAACACAUAUCCGUUGUCCAUGUGUUAAAUGUGUUAAUUUGAAGUUGUUUGGGGUUGGAAUUAUAAGGGAUCACUUAUACUUUAAUGGAAUUGACCAAAGCUAUAAGAAUUGGACAUUUCACGGAGAACCUUGGGAAGCAACUACUAAUGCUAGCAGAAAUGUUGAAGAAGAUGAUGGCCAUAGUAGGUACAGUUUUGUGUCUGAAGAAAUUGAUAUGGAUGAUAAUGAUUUUGGUGAUUUUGGUUCGGAUCCGUAUGAGUUUGCCAAUGUGAUUGGGGAUGGAGAUCAACCAGUGUACCCUGGUUGUAGAAAGUACACGAAGUUAUCGGCAUUAGUGAAGUUGUAUAAUUUGAAGGCAAAACAUGGGAUGAGUGAUGUCUGUUUUACAGAAUUAUUGAUACUUCAAGGCGAUUUGCUUCCAGAAGGAAAUACAAUACCAACCUCCAUGUAUGAGGCUAAAAAGACUUUGUGUGCAUUGGGGCUGAGUUAUGAGAAAAUGCACGCAUGCCCCAAUGAUUGCAUCUUGUAUAGGAAGGAGUAUGAGGAUUCAACUAAUUGUCCUACUUGUGGUAUCUCAAGGUGGAAGGAAGGCAAAGAUGCAAUCUUGAAAGAGGGUGUGCCAGCGAAGGUGGUGUGGUAUUUUCCCCCAAUUCCAAGGUUUAAAAGGAUGUUUCAAUCACAUGAGACAGCUAAGAGUUUGACUUGGUGGCAUGUUGCUAGAAAAUCAAUUGACGGUCAGAUGUCUCAUCCGGCGGAUUCCCCGUCUUGGAAACUUCUUGAUGAUAAAUGGCCUGAGUUUGGUAAUGAGCCGAGAAACUUGAGAUUGGCUCUUUCAUCUGAUGGAUUCAAUCCCCACAGUUCUCUAAGUAGCAGAUAUAGUUGUUGGCCGGUUAUCUUAGUUACAUAUAAUCUCCCUCCAUGGCUGUGCAUGAAACGAAAGUUCAUGAUGUUAACCUUAUUGAUUUCCGGUCCUAAACAACCCGGAAAUGAUAUAGACGUCUACUUGGAGCCUUUGAUUGAUGAUUUAAAAUCCUUGUGGGUUGGGAUUAGAGGAGUGUAUGAUGCACAUAAUGGAGAAUACUUUACACUCAGAGCUGCAUUAAUGUGGACAAUUAAUGAUUUCCCCGCCUAUGGAAACUUAUCUGGUUGUGUUGUUAAAGGAUAUAAAGCUUGUCCAAUAUGCGGCGAUGAUACACCUAGUCACAGGUUGAAAAAUGGCCACAAAAUUUGUUACAUUGGGCAUAGAAAAUGGUUACCAAUCAAUCAUCCAUAUAGGAGGCAACGUGCAGCUUUUAAUGGGAAACCUGAAUAUGGCAUACCUCCAGAGCCAUUAACCGGAGAAGAAGUGCUGCAUAUGGUUGAAAAUGGUGACAGAGUUUGUUGGAAGAAGAAAUCAAUAUUCUUUGAUCUCGAGUAUUGGAAAUACCUUCUUGUGAGGCAUGCCCUAGAUGUUAUGCACAUUGAGAAGAAUGUUUGCGAUAGUAUCAUUGGUACAUUGCUGGAGAUCCCUGGAAAAAAUAAAGAUGGGAUUGCUGCUCGAUUAGAUUUAUUGAACAUGGGGGUCAAAACUGAUUUGCAACCCGAGUAUGGAGAAAGACGUACUCGUUUGCCUCCUGGGCCUUGGAAUUUGUCAAGAGCAGAGAAGAGAGAGGUUUGCAAUUCUUUCUAUGGUAUGAAGGUCCCUGAAGGUUAUUCUUCAAAUAUUAAAAAUCUUGUAUCUGUACAAGAUUCAAGACUUCUUGGCCUUAAAUCACAUGAUUGUCAUACCUUAAUGCAACAAUUGCUCCCUGUGGCAAUUCGUUCUGUUUUGGAGAAGCCUGCAAGGUAUGCAAUAACUCGCUCGAACUUCUUCUUCAAUGCUAUAUGUGCAAAGACUGUUGAUGUUCCAAGCUAGAUANNNNNNNNNNNNNNNNNNNNNNNNNNNNNNNNNNNNNNNNNNNNNNNNNNNNNNNNNNNNNNNNNNNNNNNNNNNNNNNNNNNNNNNNNNNNNNNNNNNNNNNNNNNNNNNNNNNNNNNCCAGUAUAUUUUAGGUGGAUGUAUCCGUUUGAAAGAUAUAUGAAAGUGCUGAAGGGGUAUGUUCAGAAUCGUACUCGUCCCGAAGGUUGCAUUGCUGAGCGGUAUAUAGCUGAAGAAGCGGUAGAGUUUGUACUCAGCAUUUAUCUGAUGUUAGUACAGUUGGAGUGCCUUCAAGCCAAAAGAUGGGAGUUUCAAAGCCAUUAUCAGGUUGCACAGUGAGCGUAGUUGAUCAGGACCUGUUGAAUCAAGCACAUCUAUAUGUCUUGGAGAAUACGGAGGAAGUCCUACCUUAUAUCGAGUACGUAUGAGUUUUAUUCUUUAAGUUUCCAUUUAAAAUUAUUUCUUAUGUUUAUCUUAUAUAUUUGGGACCGUAAUGCUUGAAUUUUUCGUGUCAUGUAGGCAACAUAUGAUCCACAUCAAGACUGCUUAUCCAAAAUUUAGAAAGAGAACAAAGUGGCUGCAGGAUAAGCACAAUAGCACUUUCAUUCAAUGGCUACGCUUCAAGGUAUAUGUUGUUGAAUAACGUAUUUCUCUUUUAAUUUUCUUCUUAUUUAUAUGUUAGGAUGAAUUAAGAUAUGAUUAAUUUGCAGGUUCAAAGUGAACUUGAGGAAGACAAUCAUGGCGUAUCAGAAAAUUUAAGGUGGCUAGCAGCUGGUCCAAACAUGUCAGUGCCAUUAUAUAGGAGCUAUCUUAUUAAAGGUAUUAAAUUCAAUAUCAAGGCACAAGAUGAUGUGCGGACAACUCAAAAUAGUGGAGUUUAUUUACUUGCACAUACCAUGCAAGUUGCUAGUGCCAAGGAUAAAAACCCAAUUCUCUCAAAUAUGGGUUUCUAUGGUGUCAUUCAAGAAAUUUGGGACCUUGACUACCAAAAGUUUACAAUCCCAGUCUUUAGGUGUGAUUGGAUAGAUAGUUCUGGUCUUGUAGUCGACGAACUUGGAUUUACCCUUGUAGAUUUGAGUAAAAUUGGACAUAGGAAUGACCAAUUUGUUUUGGCUUCUCAAGUCAAACAAAUAUUUUUUGUUGACGACCCGAUGCAUCGUGGUUGGUCGGUAAUGUUAUCAAUGCCUAGUAGAGAAUAUAAUGAUGUUAUUGGUGAUGAAGUAUUAGGUGAUGUGAUAAUUGAGUGUGAGCCAUUUACUAGAGGGAUGCCAAAUGUUGACACAUUUGAUGAACUGGUAGGUGAGUUAGGCGGUCAAAAUAUUCGAGAUGGGUGUGAAGAUAUAUGGAUUGAAUGAUGCUUAUGUAAUUGGCAGUGUAUGACAUUAAUUUUGUAAUAUAUUGUAAUGUGAUUUCUUCACUUUCUACGUUCAAAUAAAACACGACGUUAUUGUGAAUCAGUUAUUCAGCAUAUUUACCGACGUCUUAAAGCAACGUAACAAUGAAGAACCACGACGCUAUUGUGAAGCAAUUAUUCAGGAUAUCACGUCGGUGAAGGAUAAAGAACCGCCAUGUAAUUCAAAAUAACACGACUCCAAUCCCAUAAUACCGACGUCUAAAAAACGAGAUAUAUAAUCUGAACGUUAAAAAAUACGACGUCAUCAUACAUUUUCCACGUCGCAAGUUCUUUUAUAAACGAAGAGGAACGAAAUUAAUUCCGACGGAAAUUCAUUAUAACCGCCGUCUAAUAACAAUUAAACGACGUUAUUUGUAAUACGGCUCCCAUCAUAAUCUACGCCGUCUAUAUGUUCUGUAAUACGGCUCUCAUUUAUUUGGAACCGACGUUGUUUAGAAGUUCAACGUCGUCUAUAUUAUUAAGUGCGUCGUGAGUAAUGAAUACAUAUAAAUACAACGUCGACUAUAUAAAUGUAUACGUCGUAAAUAAUGACACUGACAACUAUUUCCACGUCAUUUUUCUUUUUUAACGACGGUGAUUUUUUUGAGUUGGUCGUCUAUUCUCAUCCUCGACUAUUUUCUAGAACUUUAGCAGACUAUUCUCAUGUAUUUAAAGACGUCAUAUUUUUUCUUGUCGUGUAAAUUGUAUUUAACGGCGUAGUAUUUUAGUUGUCGUCGUUGUAUGUAUAAAUUUUUUAAUACGACUCUCAUAUAUUUGUAACUGACGUUGUUUAGUUUUUCAACGUCUACUAUAGAAACACAUACGUCGUAAAUAAUGACACUGACAACUAUUUCCACGUCAUCUUUUAUCGAAAAAUCGAAGUGGAAAAUUAAUUGUACGACGGUUGUGUUUAUAUGUGCGACGUAGUAGGUAUCAAUAACGUCGUCUUCUAAUGUAUUUAAAGACGUCAUAUUUUUUAUUGUCGUGAAAAUUAUAUUUAACGUCGGCGUAUUUUUAUUGUCGUCGUUGUAUGUCUAUCUUGCGGCCUUGUUCUCUUAAUAUGUGUCAUAUUUUCCCUUUUUAACGACGGUCGUUUUAGAGAAUUGGUCGUCUAUUAUCAUCCUCGAUUGCUUUUUUUAGAUCUUUUUGCAGUACAAAGACGUCGUUUUGUAUUUUUUGAUGACGUUGUAUAGUUUAACAACGACGGUUAUUUAGCGUCGUGGUUUAUGAGGGAAAAGAUGACGGUGGAUUCCACGACCAUUGAAAAACCAAAUACACGACGGUGAUUUACCGUCGUCUUUUUGCUUUUUUGUAGUAGUGUUUCAUUGACAAACUGGGAUAUCAUCACGAAAAAUCAAAAGUUAGAUGUGAUAAUAUAGAAAUUAAUGAAGAAUAUGGUAGGACAUUAUUUUCAUUGUGGCAUUCACCACAGAAAAUCAUCUAUCACAAAGGCUUGAUAGCAUCAUAACAUCUGUUUCUGUUCAAAGUUUGAGACCUGACUUUACAAUUUUUUUUUUCUUUUUCUUCUUCUUGUUUCAGCUAAUGGAACUAAAUGGGAAAAGACUUGGGGGAACUGAAACUUGAACUAUUCCUUCAAGCAUCAGCAUAACCUUCUUCUUGGUAGGUCUCACUGCAGGGUUUUCUUGGAUGCACCAAAUGGCCACCAUCAACUUUGUUCAUAUCAUGCAUGGCCUCCAUGUCAUUUUCAAUCAGAGCAUCUAAUCUGCUUUCCAAAUAGAAGUGAUAUGCCCAGUCAAUUAAAACUCCCCUCUCUCCACCGCCAACUUCCACAUCCACAUUUUUCUCUGGCAACAAACAAUUUCUAGAAGCAAGACGCCGAAACUAUACACAUCAACCUUCACAGAGACUGGUGCAGACUUGAACCAAUCAAAUGCAACAUACCCUUUUGUUCCUCUGAUUGCUGUUUAGAAGCUUGGGUUUGAUUGAGCAGCUUUGCCAAUCCAAAGUCGGAUAUUUGAGCGUUGUAAUAUUCAUCAAGAAGUAUAUUCUGAGGCUUUAUAUCACAAUGGAUGAUCUGUGUGCUGCAUUCUUCAUGCAAGUAAACGAGCCCUCCAGCAAUCCCCAAUGCAAUGUGGCUUCUUUGUUGCCAACUGGGCUUGACAUCAUCCCCAAAAAGGAAGCUGGCCAAAGUGCCAUUGUUCAAGUACUCAUAUACCAGCAACCUGUGCAGUCCCUCAUCACAAUAUCCUAGAAGUCUGACAAGAUUCCUGUGAUGUGUUUGGCCUAUGACCUUAACUUCAGCUUUGAAUUCUUUUUCCUUGUCGUUAAAUACUCUGUCCAACACCUUGACAGCAAGUACUGGUCCUCCUGCAUGAUUAGUUUUCCCCUUGUAAACAAUGCCACAUGAUCGCCUUCUCAGCUCUUCAUUGAACCCUUGUGUUGCUUCUAUGAGCUCUUUGUAGGUAAAGUAGCGCAAAUUGCUUCCUGCUGAAGCUUUGUCCUGUGAGUUCCCGUGAGCUUCUUCUGGUAGUAGAAGAAGAAACCCAAGCAAAUUGCACCAACCAAUAUGAAAUUGACAAACACAGAACUACCCAAGAGUGCUGAUCCCACAAUGAUCAAAGUGUUCUGAUUCUUUGCCUUUGGAGGUAAUGGAGGAGUUGGGCUUUGGAGGGUACCACUACUCCUUGAUUUAAGGAAAGUCUUACCGUUAACUCCACUAUCCUGUCUUCCAUUUGAAAGUGGUAGUUUUUUCUUCCAACAUCUGUUGUCUCUAGAAACAGCUGCAGCACAUAGACAAUCUUCAAAGCAAGAUGUUUUGCACGCUUCAACAUUAUAAGAUGUAAACAACUCAUAAUCUGAUCUUGGACAAUCAGUAUUUGUAAGCUCAUCCAUGUAGUACAAAUCUCUUUCAGAACCCUGCCCUCCACCAUCUUCACAUACUUGCUGCAGGAAAGCUGCCUUGCAACCGCUGUACUCAUCAGUUGGAUUCAAUAAAGAAUACCCCACUGGGCAUCUGCUGUUGGUUUAUAAGUGUGAUUGCCGAAAUGUAAUUAGAACAAAAGAAGUUUCUAUUCUUAGUUUAAAAGGCAGCUUUGGAUCACAGUCCAAGUAUGCAGCAGAAAAAAUGUAAUAGUCUUGUGCCACUUGUCUUUAUCUCAUAGGGUAGUUAAAUGAGUGGCUAGGAUUGAAUGAUGUAAUAAGGAAUAUUCCAUUCCUAACGGUUUUGUCAGAGCACAAUAUAUGCAUGUCAUAUUGGAGCUGAGCUAAUACAAUCUUAGCUAGCUUCUUCUCCAAUCUCUCUCUCUCUCUGAAAUUCUCUCCUCUUUCAUCUAGCCUAUCUCUCUGCAUUUCUAUAAGCCUUAUUACACUGAUGAUUGAAUAAAUAUACAAGAUAAUGGUCUGUAUAUGUUAACAUGGCCUCAGAGCCAGGUUUGAUCAAAUAACACUAGGCGUUUAGAACUGUGAGGAAUCGAAGUUUGCAGCUGAGUUUGAGUUUUGGAGAUCUAAGUCUAACAUGGCUGGGUCAAGUGGUGGUGAAUUGAGAGCACCAGUUUUCAAUGGUGAGAACUACGAUUUCUGGAGUAUACGGAUGAAAACCAUCUUCAAAUCUCAUGGACUGUGGGAUUUGGUGAUAGAGGGAUUCGAUAGUACAGAUCUGAAGAAGUCAGAUGAAUCUGAUGCUAAGAAAAAGGAAAAAGAAGAAUCAAGUGGUAUUGGAAAAGACUCGUUUGCUAUGAUACUCAUGAAGGAUGCUAAGGCUCUGGGAUUGAUUCAAGGAGUAGUUUCAUAUGAGAUAUUCCCACGAAUCUCUUAUGAGGAGACAUCAAAAGGUGCCUGGAAUAUCCUGCAGCAAGAAUAUCAUGGAGGUAAGCAGAUAAGAAGUGUUAAAUUGCAAAGUCUUAGAAGAGAAUUUGAAUAUACAAGGAUGAAGGAUGAUGAAUCAUUAACUGCUUACAUUACUAAACUGUUUGAUUUGAUAAAUCAAAUGCGAAGUUAUGGGGAGGAAUUGCCUAGGGAAAGGGUUGUUCAAAAAUUGCUCAUUAGUCUGCCAUCUGCCUAUGAUUCUAUCUGCUCAGUUAUUGAGCAUUCGAGAGAUCUGAAUGUAAUUGAAGUACAGGAGGUAGUAGCCUCGUUGAAGAGUUUUGAAUUAAGGCUGGACAGACAUUCUGAAAACAAAACUGAGAAGGCAUUUGCUAGUCUCAGUGUGGAUGCCAAAUCAGUUAAAGCUGGUGAUCAAAAUUCUAAACAAAAUAAGAGUGGAAAACAAAAGGCAAGAAGUGGGAUAACAAAACAAAUGAUGGUGCUAAAAAUCCUUGCAAGCACUGUGGCAAAUUAUACUUUGGAGAGUGUCGAUUCAAGGGCAAACCAAAGUGUUUCAACUGUGACAAAUUUGGGCACAUAGCCAAAGAUUGUUACAGUAAGAAACCAACACAGCAAGUCAAUUAUGCUAACCAAGUAGAUGCUACUCCAACUAUGUUUUAUGCUAGCAAUAAAACUGAUGCUAGUAUAAAAGGAGGUGAUGAGGUAUGAUACUUGGACAGUGGAUGUAGCAAUCAUAUGACAGGAAGGGAGGAUCUACUAGUUGACAUGACAGAAAUGUGACUGCAAAAGUUGAAAUGGGAAUUGGACAGCUUGUUGAAGUCACUGGUAAGGGCAGUCUUGUGGUUGAAACCAAAAUGGGCAAGAAAUACAUCAAAGAAGUUAUGCUUGUACCUGGUUUGAAAGAAAACUUACUCAGUGUGGGCCAGAUGAUAGAGCAUGGUUAUUACUUUGUGUUUGGAGAUUUACAAUGACAGUUUUUAUUCCAAUUUGAUUGCAAGGAUACAAAUGAGAGGAAAUCGAAGUUUUCCAAUGAAAUUGCAGGCUGAAAUACAUCUUGCACACAAGGCAAGUGUCUGUCACUCUACUGCAAUAUGGCAUAGAAGACUGGGGCAUCUAAAUCUGAGUAGUCUGAAAUUACUACAAGAGCAAGAAAUGGUUGUGGGAUUGCCAGAAAUUACAGCUGUUACAGAAGUAUGUGAGGGUUGUAUUCUAGGCAAACAGUGCAGAGAGUUAUCUGUGGUCCAAUGCAAACAACUACAAAAGCUGGAAAUUGAUACUUUCUCACUUUCAUAGAUGAUAACACAAGAAUGUGUUGGGUUUAUUUCUUAAGACAAAAGUGUGAGACACUGAGUGUAUUCAAGAGAUUCAAAGCUACUGUGGAACUGCAGAGUGGCUAUAAAUUAAAGAAGCUUAGAAGUGAUUGAGGAGGAGAAUACACCUCAGUGGAAUUUGAUAGGUUCUGUGCAGAUAUAGGCAUAGAAAGGCAGCUAACAACUCCAUAUACACCACAGCAAAAUGGUGUAGCAGAGAGAAAGAACAGAACUAUUGUGGAAAUGGCAAAGUGUUUGUUACUAGAGAAGAAGAUCCCUCUUGAUUUUUGGGCUGAAGCAGUUAAUACAUCAGUGUAUAUUUUGAAUAGGUGUCCAACCAAAGUUUUGAAUAAGAGAACACCAUUUGAAGCUUAUAGUGGAAGAAAGCCUGGAGUUAAGCAUCUAAAAGUGUUUGGUUCAUUGUGCUAUGCUCAUAUUUCAAGUCAACAAAGGUAGAAGCUAGAUUUGACAAGCAAGGUGUGUAUUUUCUUAGGCUAUGGAAGCUGUGAAAAGGGGUAUAGACUUUAUAGUCUUGAAACUGGAAAGAUAAUUGUGUCUAGAGAUGUUGUGUUCAAUGAAGAUGCAUGUUGGGAUUGGAAUACACAGAAAGAAAGAAGUGUGAAGAUUCCAAUUGCUGAAAUACCUGCAAGUAAGCAAGGACAAGAAGAAAACAGCAGUAAUCCUGAAGUACAAGGUGAAGAAGGUGAAAUAUUUGGUAUUAGUACUGAAUCUAGUGAUCAAGAAAGAAUGCCAAGCUCCCAGGAUUUUGAUCACACACCUCGCAAGUACAAGAGCAUUGCAGAAAUCUAUGAGAAAUGCAAUAUGUGCAUCAUAGAACCAGAGAGUUUUGAAGAAGCAGCAAAGGAUGAUUCCUGGAAGAAAGCUAUGGAAGAUGAAAUUCUGAUGAUAAACAAAAAUAACACUUGGGAACUUGUGAAUAGACCAUCUGACAAACCAAUUAUUGGUGUUAAAUGGGUCUAUAAGACAAAACUGAACUUGGAUGGAUCUGUGCAGAAGAACAAGGCACGACUGGUGGCAAAGGGUUAUUCUCAGAAGCCUGGAAUAGACUUCAAUGAGACCUUUGCACUAGUGGCAAGACUUGAUACUGUGAGAACCUUGGUGGAUUUGGCUGCACAAAGAAAUUGGAGGCUAUUUCAGUUGGAUGUAAAGUCGGCAUUUCUUAAUGGAGUGCUAAAAGAAUAAGUGUAUGUGGAUCAACCAUCUGGUUUUGUGAUACAAGGAAGUGAAGAUAAGGUGUAUAGGCUUAAAAAGGCCUUAUAUGGCUUGAAACAAGCUCCAAGAGCUUGGUAUAAAGAGAUAAAUUCCUACUUUACUAAAACUGGUUUUUAUAGGAGUCCAAGUGAAGCUACAUUGUACACUAAGAUGUCUACAAGUGGUAUUCUCAUUGUGUCACUAUAUGUAGAUGAUAUUAUCUACACAGGGAGCUCAAAAGAAAUGAUGGCUAAAUUCAAGAAUGAGAUGAUGAGGCAAUAUGGGAUGACUGACCUAGGAUUGCUUCAUCACUUCCUUGGCCUUGGAGUUCUACAAACUGAUACCUGCAUCUUCUUACACCAGAAGAAGUAUGCAAAGACUUUGCUUGACAAGUUUGGACUCAAGGAUUGCAAGCCUGUUGCAACACCACUGGCUGUGAAUGAAAAAUUGUCAAAGAUGGAUGGAAGUGAUCUUGCAGAUGAAACUUUGUAUAGGCAAAUGGUGGGGAGUUUGCUCUACUUGACUGCAACCAGACCAGAUAUCAUGUUUGCAGCAAGCCUCUUGGCUAGAUUCAUGCAUAAUCCAACCAAGAAGCACAUGGGAACGCAAAGAGGGUGCUGAGAUACAUUCAAGGCACUAUGAAUUAUGGAAUUGCGUAUGAAAAGGGAAAAGGGGCAGUGUUAAUAGGUUACUGUGGUAGUGAGGAUGACAUGAGAAGCACAUCUGGCUAUGCAUUUAAUUUGGGAUCAAGUGUGUUUUCUUGGGCUUCAAUCAAGCAAAGCAGUGUUGCUCUUUCAACUGCAGAGGCUGAGUAUAUGAGUGCAGCAGAAGCUACUGCACAAUCUAUUUGGCUGAGGUUUGUAUUAUCAGACUUUGGGGAGCAGCAAGUAGAACCAACUAAAUUGCUAUGUGAUAAUACUUCAGCUAUUGCUAUAUCGAAGAAUCCAGUUCAUCAUCAUAAAACCAGACAUAUCAAUCGAAGGUUUCAUUUCAUUCGAGAUGCACUUCAAGAUGGUGAGAUUGAUCUACUAUAUUGCAAAACUGAAGAGCAACUUGCUGACAUUUUCACCAAGCCUUUGGCAAGAGAUCGAUUUGUAUAUCUGAGGAAAGCUCUAGGAGUCAUUUCAGCACAACACUUAGAAGGUAGUGUUGGUUUAUAAGUGUGAUUUCUGAAAUGUAAUUAGAACAAAAGAAGUUUCUAUUCUUAGUUUAAAAGGCAGCUUUGGAUCACAGUCCAAGUAUGCAGCAGAAAAAAUGUAAUAGUCUUGUGCCACUUGUCUUUAUCUCAUAGGGUAGUUAAAUGAGUGGCUAGGAUUGAAUGAUGUAAUAAGGAAUAUUCCAUUCCUAACGGUUUUGUCAGAGCACAAUAUAUGCAUGUCAUAUUGGAGUUGAGCUAAUACAAUCUUAGCUAGCUUUCUUCUCCAAUCUCUCUCUCUCUGAAAUUCUCUCCUCUUUCAUCUAGCCUAUCUCUCUGCAUUUCUAUAAGCCUUAUUACACUGAUGAUUGAAUAAAUAUACAAGAUAAUGGUCUGUAUAUGUUAACAUCUGCAACUUGGCCUUCUAUCUUCUUUAAGUGUACAAACACUAUUAUAACCGCAUGGCCCUGUUCCGAGUUCUCCAGCUAUUUUCACACAAAUAUUAUCUGGUUCAGUGUGGAUGACACUCCAGCUUUCACUGGUUGUAGAAUUCUUCGGUUGGUAACUUAUGAUGAAAACCCCAUCAAAAUGGAGAGUUGCUCUGACAUAAUACCUCGUAUGUGAGAGUGCUUGUCCCGGUGUUGUAAUAAAAAAUCUCUCUCCACUUCUUCGCAAUAUGUACAAGUAGCCUGACUGAUCAAAGAUGACCUUGUAACAGGAAUUUGUAUCAUUUGCUUCGUCACGACUGCUGCUGAUAUAAUACGCGUCAUAAGCAUAUUUACCUGGAACAUUUAUGGGGUUGAGCACAGCAUCACCAUUACCAAGCAUCUAAAACUGGUAUCUUCCCCUUGAGAAGUUAGUUUCUGUUUGUCUAGAAUAAAGCAAGCCACCUAUCUCCAUUGUCUGAGUAGGUAAUGAUAGGAUUUUUAGUACUUGUGCAAACAGUGUUAAAAAUCACAUAAAAUACUUGCAAGAAUACAAGGCUAUUGUAGUAUAGAUGCUCAUGCAAGGUCGUUUUCCUCAAGGACUAAUUAGCAAUUUAUGUAAAAACAAAUUCCAAUUACUACUUAAAAUAAAAAGUCAAGAAAGAUGAUUAUAAAUUUGGUGGAUUCUAAAAAACAAAUAUUAAACAAAACCAAAUACGAUUGAGAGAAAGAGUUUUGAAUAUCAAUUUAUAAAAACACUAGGGUUUCACCAUCACCUAGCAAUCCUAUGAACUUUUACCAAUUACUUAUGAUUUGCACAUGCCACUUUGAAGGUUAGGUUUUCCUAAUGUAUAUUCUACUUGGAACCUCCAACACAGAACGUAUAUCCAACAUGCAACCCGUCCGGACGUUCGGAUCAAAUCUGAACAUGAAAGACUCAUUAAGUUUUGUGAAAACCCUUUGAAAAACCAUGCAACCUUUAAGACGUGGUGUUCAUCUUAAGUGAAAUUACAAUUAUUAAUCACAAGAAGCUAGCAUCAAUUUCAGGGAACCUUCCGACCAAAAUUGCAUCCAAUUACUUUUCUAAAGAUCCUAAUGGUGAUCAGGCAUUAAGACAAUUAGAUAGUUUAAAACAGUGAUUAACAAUUCAAGUAGGCAUGCACUCAUCAUAAGCAAUUAAAUAAAAAUCACAUAUUCAUGCUAAGGUUCAAGGCUUCACCCUAGCAAAAGAAAUUUAGUUACGCAUACUCAUAAUUGAAAUCCAAGAAAAUAUCAUUAAGAAGAAAAGAACGAAAACACCUGAAAGUUGUGAAAACCCAAAACCCUAGCAAUUGCUCUCCACAAUGCAAAGUUCAAAAGUGAAAAAAGAAGUCCUUGAUUCCUUGUGAGAAAGAGCUUAAAUACCCCUUAAAACCUAGCUGCCAAUGUACAGCUUUUCUAUCCCCACAAGGAAACUAAUUAAAGUAAAAUAAUACUAGGAAAUAAAGUCCAAAUUGGAAUAGGAGAAUUUGCCUAAAAUCUGCCCAGCCACGUUUUGGCCACAAAUCUCCUCCAAAUCUGGCCCAAGAUAGCUUGUUUUAAAGAUAAAAAUGUUCUGAACACUUCUCUAGAAGGCCACGAACCCAUCCGAGGUCAUCUUGGGCUCCAAAAACGCAAUAAAAGCCCAACACAUCACUAUUCCAGCACCGCGCACUGCUCCUUCAUUUUGUUGCCAGAAAAUAACCGCUUGGAAGAAAAAUCUGAAAUUUUGAUACGAUCAAGCUAAGUGACUCAAGAACGUCCUCCAACUGGAAUUACUCCAAAAUUCCUCAAUUUGAUUAUGUUUUGCUCCAGAGAGAGUCGAAAGUCCUAUAUUGGAAAUAUAAUUCAAAGUAUCAAAAUUCUUCCAAAAUAUUAACCAAAAUAUACUAAGAAUGAGGUUAAAUAUAUAAUAUAAAAUAUGUCCAUCAGGUAACAAGGUAUCAGUUGGAUGAUUGAAGGUCUCCCAAAUGACUCUAAAACUUGUAUCAACAAUCAUAAAGUUUCCCAUGUCGUUCAUUACACCGUAGGCUAUUGCAGCAGCUGGAAAUUCUGUCAAUAGUUGUUGAUCUCCUUGUGGGGGUCUCAGCAGAAGGCCUUGGUCGGUUAGCUCUACUUCUGAUUUUCUCAGAGAAGGGUUGCCUUCAUUUGCAUACCAAACUAUGGUUUUCUGAGGUAUCUUGUGACACCAUAUGGCAAGCAAGAAGUGAUCAUUGUCAAGUUUUUGAAACCCCAAUGCAAAAUCAUUGGAAGGUGAAAGCCACCAAGCAGACUCUUCACCUGCAGUGAGAGUACUACCCACACUAAUGUUACCAUUAGUUUGAGCAAUGACAGAGAAGGGCAGGAGCAGGAAGAGAAGGAAGAGAAGGAAGAGCAGAUGAGGGAGAACAAAAGCCAUUGCUUUCAUUUGUACUUUGGAUCUGUCCACUCACAAAUACAAAUUUAUAGAAGAAACAAAAUUAUUACAAUUGGAGAUUUUAGAAAAGUAAGGUCCAAGAAGACUAAGUAAAAGCUUAUGCAACAUAAGAGCAUUUCCACCAGUUAGCUCCUUGCCUUGGCAAGGGUAGUCCUAGGGCAGCUACUAUUCACGUGAAUAGUGGCUGCCCUAUCCCCCCUCAGCAAAGUGUGUUUCCAGCAGUUUAGGCUUGCCAUGGCAAAUACUAUUCAUUUUUUUGUUUUUUUUCACAACUUUGUUUACUUAAACAAUUAAUUUGGAUAAUAUUUUCGGAUAAGAUUUUUGGGUUCCUACGUGUCAAUACUAUUCAUAUCGGAUAAGAUUUUUGGUUUCAAAUUUCAGAUAAAUUUCAAAUUUCAGAUAUAUUUCAAAAUUCAAAUUUCAGAUAAAUUCAAAAUAUCAAAUUUCAGAUACAUUUCAAAUUUCAAAUUUCAGAUAAGAUUUUCAUCCUCUAAGAUUGCGCAACGUGUCAUAUCUAUCGGUCUAAAUUUUUCUAUAAAACCAGAGGUUCAGCUCAUACCUCCCACACCAGUUCUUCUCUACAUUUCCAUUUCUCAUAUUUUAGAUUUCAUUCUCCAUUCUCAAUGGUAGACAUGCAAGAGGUUUUGGAGAGGCAAGAGCUAGAAACUAGAGAAAUGGAGUGGCGUCUCGUUCAACACUACCGUCAGACCCGUUGGAAUAAUUUGGAAUCUCUUACAAUUCUUCACCACCUCCCAACAAUGGGUAUGGUUGAAACUUUUUUUGCCUUGCCCAGUAGCACCAAACCACAUUUGUGCUUGCAUAAUCUAUAAAAAAAAUUAAGUGGAAAUGCAAGAAACUUUAAAAAAUAUUGGCAAUGCAACAUGUAAAAAAAAACUAAUGCAAAUGCAAUAAAUUUUAAAAAAAUGCAACAUGUAUAAAAAAAAUACAAUAAAUAUUAACAAAAUAUAUAAAUUGCAAGAAACAUUUAAAUAAAAAUUAAUAUGACAUAGAAAUUAAUAGAACGAAAAUGACAAAUAAUUUACCUCACUGCUAAGGUUUUCCCCGCUUCUAUGGUUGUCCAUCACUUUUGCCAAGGCAUUUCUCCAUUUUGCCAACUCUUUAUUAAGAAUUUUCCACCUACUAGAUAAUGCUAUUUCUGUACGUGUCGAACCAAUUGCCCUUUCACAAAAUGCCUGAUGAAUUUUUUUUCCACAUAUGAGAAAAUUUAAUCUCAUUGCUCGUUACGGGACAAUGACUAACUUGGACCCAAGCCUCACACACGCUAACAUCUUCCAUCAUGCUCCAUGCCCCUCCAUUUUCACUAGAAGAACCCAUAAUAUGAUAGAGAAAAAUACAACUUGAAAGUGAAAAAAAUAUUGAGUAGAAAGUGAAUAAUAGUAGAAGGAGAAAAAAAUGUAAGAGGAUUUGGUGUUAAAAGUGAAGAGUAUUGGUUGGUAUUUAUACAAAAAAAAAAAAUUGCAGUAAUUUUUGUGUAUUUUUAAAAAUAUUUUUCAAUAUUUUUUAUUUUUUUAUUGCAGAAAAAUUGGUUGCCGUUGGAUUGAAGGAAAAAAUCGAAUCGGAGAGCCGCCAGGGCGACACGUGUAAGGUAGUCGUUGGCGGCUAUUGUAGCGUGUUGUUUCAAAUUUUUUUUAAUGUUGGCAAGUGCAAUGCACGCGCCAACGAUAAAAAAAAAAAAAAAUGAAAGCUGAAGGGCUGACGCCAGCCUAGCGUCAUCCAUGACGUCACCGCCCUCGGGCUCUUUCUCGGGCUAAACUCCACCUCGGGCCAGCCCAGUCUCAUGGCCCAGACCUCUUGCCCGGGCUGCCUUUUGUUGCUGAAAACCCAUUUUUCUGCCAAACCCCUCUCUCCCUCCCCCCGCCAGCCCGAGUCCAGCCUUAGCUGCUGGACUUGCUCUUUAGAAAGCAUGGUCAUUGUUUUCAUAAAGAAAGCAGUGAGGACAAAAAAGACAUGACCAUUGUUGUCAUAGGAAAAAAAAAAGCAAUGAAAUGAAAUUAUGAGAGAAAUAUAGCUGCAAUUUCAUUUGAUAAGACUGCAAGUGUCCAAUUUCAAUUUGAAAUUUUCUUAUUGGGACCACUACGAAGAAAAAGACUGCAUGAAUUAACUGGUUGAAUUUUGCAGUGGGAAUGGGUCAAGAAAGAGACCUAUAUAUUGACCCAAAAAAUCAGAGAGAAAUAGAAGAGGUAAUGUGGACUAAUCUUAAACUAUACUGAUUAAUCUGCAGGUAUCUUUCUUGUUCUUUUUCACAUCCCCAAAUAACAUAGGAUUUUUCAGGUAUAGAUAUCAUUAAGAGAAUUUUUUUAUACAAGCGAUAUUUGACUUUAAUCUAAUCUAAACUACAGGAAAGGUGAUUUGAACUCAUGUGCAGAGUGGGGAGUACAUCCGCUUUAGCCAACUUGGCUAGGCCCAUGUCUGCAUCAUUAAGAGACUUUUGAAUGCAUCUGCUUGCAGAGCCACAGGUUCUAACCAAAAAUAUGUGGGAGUUGUGUGCACAACACACAGACUCCAUAAACUUAAACGACAAAGUUAUCAUCUUCAUACCAAACUGAGAUUUAAUUUUGGAAACUAAAAAGAAGGAUCUUAUAAACAAUAAUUACAAGCGGAAACGACAUCAGAAGGCUGAUUUAAUACCUUAGGAGUCCUUGACUUGAUGUUAAUGGAAUUUGUGAACAAGUACUUACCAAUAGAAAGGACCACAAUCCACAACCAAUAAUGGCCUUGGUUUUUCAGAAACCAGUAAAAAUAAAUAGGCCACAAACUUCAUACUUAGAUUAAGCAAACACAUAGUUGCACUACGUUUUCUUAACAGAAUUUGUCCUUCACAACAAGAACAUUACUUACACAAAAAUUUACAUACACAAAGCCUUCUUUCUUAUCAGUAUGGCCAAAUUAAAGCGAUGCAAAACUACAAAUAAGUCCACUAAAAACGAUUGAUAAACAGAAAAUAAGCAACUUAGUACCGAAAAUGAUUUAAACCUGCGAUACAAAUGCGGAUGGGCAUGGUGGAACUUUUACUUCCACCACUCCUUCAAGCAUCUGAACAACCUUCUUCAUAUUCGGUCUAACAGAAGGGUCUUCUUGAAUACACCAAAUAGCAACCAUCACAAACUUUUCCAGUGUCGUUUUAUCACCCAAGGCCUGAACUUCAUAAUCUACAACAGCAUCUAAUUCUCCUUCAAGGUAGCAAUCGUAGACCCAGUCCGUUAAUAUUACUUUCUCUUCGCAGUUAUUUUCCACAUCAACGCUUCUCCUACAACAAAUGAUCUCAAGCAGCACAACACCAAAGCUGUACACAUCAACUUUGGUAGUGAUUGGCAUGUUCCUAAACCACUCAGGUGCAACAUACCCUUUUGUUCCUCUAAUGGCAGUAUGAGUCUUGCUCUGAUUCAUCAUCAAAAGCUUUGCCAAUCCAAAGUCAGAGAUUCGAGCAGUGUAAUAAUCGUCAAGCAGUAUGUUCUGAGGCUUUAUAUCACAAUGGAUAAUUUGAGUACCGCAGUCUUCAUGCGAGUACAGAAGUCCUCUGGAAACUCCAUAAGCAAUUUCAAUUCGUUGUCUCCAACUCGGUUUGAUAUCAGUAAAAAGGAAGCUUGCUAAUGUGCCCUUGCUUAAGAACUCGUAUACUAGCAAUCGAUGUUGCCCUUCGUCACAAUACCCAACCAGGCAAACUAGAUUCUUGUGAUGUGUCUUACCAAUUACUCGCAGUUCUGUCUUGAAUUCCUUCUCACCAUCUUGUAUCACACCGUUUAGCUUCUUCACUGCCACUUGGACACCAGAACCAAUUUGUAUUGUCCCUUUGUAAACAACUCCGAAGGUACCUCUUCCUAAUUCUUCUGUGAAUCCAUUUGUAGCUUCUUGAAGCUCUUGGUAACUAAAAGAAUGCAAAUUUGAGUCCAAAAUAUUUUCGACAGACCUUACAUGUUUCUUCCGGAAAACAAAGAAAAAUCCCCGACAAGCAGCAGCACUAAACAUAAAACUAACAAAGAUAGAGGCAGCCAGAAUUAUAGACUCCACGCAUAUCACAGUGUUACUGCUCUUCUUCUUCGUCUUCUUGUCAUCUGGAUUUGGCAUUGGAGGAAAUUGUAGAGUUGAAUUGUCCUUUCUGACUUUGAUGAAGGCUUGUGAAUUAAGAUUUACAUCCACUCUCCCAUUUGAGAGAGGUAACUUCUUUUUCCAACAGGUUUCAGACCGGAAAAUAGCAACAGCACACAAACAAUCUUGAAAGCAAGAUUCAUUGCACCUCUCUGCAGUAAAAGGAUAUACCUUUACAUAAUCUGAGGUUGGCCAAUCUGUAUUUGUUAGCACCUCAACAUCAUAUAAAUAUUUUGUGCCACUAAGCUCAUCUUCUUCACAGCCUUGUAUGAAAUCCGGUUUGCAUCCCCGGUAUGGAUCAUUUGGAUCAAGUAAAGAGAACCCUUUUGGGCAUCCACAGGUUGGCCUCUUAUCUUUGAGAGUGCAGAUACUGUUGUACCCACAAACACCAACACCUGAAUCUUCUCUAUUUCUUUGGCAAAUAUCAUCUGGCUCUGACCACCGAAGAGUCCAGCUCACAUUUCCAGUGAAAUUCUUGGGGUGAUAAUAUUGAGCAAAAAUCCCAUCAAAGUUGAGAGUUGCUCUAAUAUAGUUGUCCCUUGCUGAGACUACCUCUUCCCCUGCAAGAUUGUACUUUCCACCAUUCUCUCUCAGAACAUACAAGUAGCCUGAGACAUUGAAAACCAAUUCUUUACCUUCACUACCUGCCACAGUCCCUGAGGUAGUGUCGGUUGAAUAGUAAGGUUCAUUGGCAAAUUCUGUUGGCAAGUUUAUGGUGCUGAUUACAAGGUUCCCAUCUCCUUGCAGAAGCAGCUGGAACCGUCCUUUCAAAUAGUUAGUCUCCGAUUGUCGAGACGAAAGCGUCCCACUUCUUUCAAUUUUCUGUCCAGG
rnacentral:lncRNA from 1 species